rnacentral:tRNA from 1 species
GAUCGCAUAGCUCAAUGGUAGAGCAACGGUCUUCGGAACCGGAGGUUUGUGGGUUCGAAUCCCAUUGCGAUUG